rnacentral:lncRNA from 1 species
GUACCGGCACUAGCACAUCCUGAUUCCACUUCCGAAAGUGAAUUUCCGUCCCCAUUAUGGAGCCGUGCUAUCGUCGCCUCGAGAUCCUUGCGUUGUCGUCCAUCCCGUCGUCGUCUCGCCGCUAGCUAACAGAUGGAAAACUCUCGGUGCCUUCAGCAUUGUCAGCUUCGAGAUCUUUUGCGUUUCUUUACCUUUUCUUCUUUUUUCCUUCAGUUGCGUUUCUUGAGGCGGACCAUACAUUGGUCUCAAAAUAGACGGAAAUAAGCUCGUCAAGUUCGGCCCUGUGCUUCCGAAGCACGUCGCAUGGCCCGGUUGGCGUACUCGCGCUCGGCGUCACCAGUCGGAUCAAUAACGCCCGUCAGGUUCAGCUGAAUGUCUGGGGACACAUGGAGGGAGGCGAGUACGAGGGUCUGUAACACACGUGCAAAAAAUCGGCCCAAAAUAAAGACUGGAAAAACAACAAAAUCAGAGGAAUAUACUACUAUAUAAUUAUAAGAGGACAAAGCACAGGAUAAGGAUAUAUAUAUGUGUGUGUGUGGAACUUUGUGAAAAAUGUGGCGUAACAAAUAUAUAUCGACAUAAGUGAAAAUCGUAAUGUGAUGAAUAAAUUUAAACGACACUGUUAGACUUAGGCCCACGUUUUUUUUUUU